UACGUAGGUGGCAAGCGUUGUCCGGAAUUAUUGGGCGUAAAGCGCGCGCAGGCGGCCUUUUAAGUCUGAUGUGAAAGCCCACGGCUCAACCGUGGAAGGUCAUUGGAAACUGAAAAGGCUUGAGUACAGAAGAGGAAAGCGGAAUUCCACGUGUAGCGGUGAAAUGCGUAGAGAUGUGGAGGAACACCAGUGGCGAAGGCGGCUUUCUGGUCUGUAAACUGACGCUGAGGCGCGAAAGCGUGGGGGAGCAAACAGG
rnacentral:rRNA from 1 species